CAUUAGCUAGUUGGCGGGGUAACGGCCCACCAAGGCGACGAUGCGUAGGGGUUCUGAGAGGAAGGUCCCCCACACUGGUACUGAGACACGGACCAGACUCCUACGGGAGGCAGCAGUGAGGAAUAUUGGUCAAUGGGCGCGAGCCUGAACCAGCCAUGCCGCGUGAAGGUCAGUGCCCUAUGGGCGUUAAACUUCUUUUGUGCGGGAGCAAUAAUGGUCACGUGUGGCCAGACGAGAGUACCGUACGAAUAAGCAUCGGCUAACUCCGUGCCAGCAGCCGCGGUAAUACGGGGGAUGCAAGCGUUAUCCGGAUUUAUUGGGUUUAAAGGGUGCGUAGGCUGUGAGGUAAGUCAGCGGUGAAAUGCCCCCGCUCAACGGGGUGAAGUGCCAUUGAUACUGCCUUGCUGGAAUGCGGAUGCCGUGGGAGGAAUGUGUGGUGUAGCGGUGAAAUGCAUAGAUAUCACACAGAACACCGAUUGCGAAGGCAUCUCACGAAUCCGCGAUUGACGCUGAUGCACGAAAGCGUGGGUAUCAAACAGGAUUAGAUACCCUGGUAGUCCACGCUGUAAACGAUGAUGACUAACCGUC
rnacentral:rRNA from 1 species